GUGAGUAAAUGGGAGCUCCUUUUGAUUCAAAAGCAGGAGGGAGAGAGGGUUUUACACUGCUGCUGGUUCAUGGAUGCCCCUGAGGUGCGCACGAUAAGGAAACUGCGCAGCUUAAGGGUUUGCAUGGCCCAGGAGAUGUGAAUUCCUUCUCCUCUCCUUUCUUGGAUUGAAGGGAGCUCCAAUACUAUUUGAC
rnacentral:pre_miRNA from 1 species